rnacentral:rRNA from 1 species
UGCCUUCGGGAACCGUGAGACAGGUGCUGCAUGGCUGUCGUCAGCUCGUGUUGUGAAAUGUUGGGUUAAGUCCCGCAACGAGCGCAACCCUUAUCCUUUGUUGCCAGCGGUUAGGCCGGGAACUCAAAGGAGACUGCCAGUGAUAAACUGGAGGAAGGUGGGGAUGACGUCAAGUCAUCAUGGCCCUUACGACCAGGGCUACACACGUGCUACAAUGGCGCAUACAAAGAGAAGCGACCUCGCGAGAGCAAGCGGACCUCAUAAAGUGCGUCGUAGUCCGGAUUGGAGUCUGCAACUCGACUCCAUGAAGUCGGAAUCGCUAGUAAUCGUGGAUCAGAAUGCCACGGUGAAUACGUUCCCGGGCCUUGUACACACCGCCCGUCACACCAUGGGAGUGGGUUGCAAAAGAAGUAGGUAGCUUAACCUUCGGGAGGGCGCUUACCACUUUGUGAUUCAUGACUGGGGUGAAGUCGUAACAAGGUAACCGUAGGGGAACCUGCGGUUGGAUCACCUCCUUACCUUAAAGAAGC